rnacentral:tRNA from 1 species
CGAGCGUGGCCUGGGCGGCGAAGGCGCCGACCUCGAACGGCGGCUGAUGCGGUUCCGAUCCGAAAGAUCGCC